rnacentral:snRNA from 1 species
GUGCUUGCUUAGGGAGCACAUAUAUUAAAUUGGAAUGAUACAGAGAUUAGUAUGGCCCCUGCGCAAGGAUGACAUGCAAAUUCGUGAAGCAUUCCAUAUUUUU